AAAGGCAGCUGUUAUGCCGGAGUAGCAAGUUCCGGGGCUUUUUGUUAUUAUUUAUGUUUUGUGGGAAGACAAAACCCGGCUUUGGGGCUGUCGUUCCUCUGGUUUUCCAUAAGGAGGAAUAGAAUAGAAGUGGAAGAUGAGAGGAUAGAAGAGGAAUUCAUCAGAUUUGCAGAUGACGCCAAUCUGGGAAGAAUAGCCUACAGUUAAGAAGAGGAAUUUUCAUAGAUACUGGGCCCUGUCCAACAAAAUGCAAGUCAGUGGUGAGAAAAGUAAGAUUUUACACUUAGAUUUUAAGGAAUAAACUAGACAAGCUGAGCUUGAGAUGCAGAGAUAAUGUGGCCCCGGCCCUAUGGAAUGAACUGCCUCCGGACAUACAAAGGAUCCCCGACCUCCAUGCCUUCCGUCGCGUUCUGAAGACCCUAUUAUUCCAGCAAGCUGGUCUGACAGGAUAAAGAAGGAAUCUGUGACAUCUAACAAGACAAUAAUAUUGAAAGAUGUUGAAGAUGGAAUUUUCUUCCUGUGGCAAGUUGGAAAGGAAGUUUCCCCCCCUCAAAGCUGAAUGGGACAAUUUGCUGCAGCCAACUUACUGCUGCCCUCUCACCACAGUCAUCUUAACCACACACACUCCAAAAGUUCAAGAACAGGAAGAUUGCGACAACUAUACCAGGUCUAUGCAGAUUAACGGGAAAGUUUGAAAAGUUGAGUUUCUGCCAAAAGAAAAACAAGCAAGUUUCGAGUAUUUUUCACAGGAAAUGAAAAACCUGUAGGCAUCUGAAAACAUUUGAAUAUGUAUAAGAAGACAGGUUUUACACUUAGCUGUGGUUUGGAAAACUGUACCUUCCCCUUGUCUGUAACCAACUGCCGAAAAUGAAGAUAUCCUUCUUUGGAGGUGUCACCAAAGACUUCUGAAGCAGAUGCUUUUCUGAAUCCUGCAUUUUCUGAAGAUGCUUGGCUAUUUGGAAUCUAAAGAAAACAUAAUCAAACCAGCUUCAGCAUUCUCUAAUAAUUCAAGAUCUCCCUCUUCUUUCCCUUCCAUCUGUCAGGUGGGAAUACAGACAACUAGCAUGAAACGGGACCUAAUACUAACGGAACAGUACAUUCCAGUCAGCCAUCAGCUCAAAGGAACCCCAAUGAAUUACAGAAAAGGCCUGCCAUAUAUCUCAAUAAGUUGGUUUUCUUUUAAUAUGCAAGGAAGUAGUAAUAAUUCUAAAGUUAACUACAGAGUGUACCAUCCUGUCUGUAGCCAAAAAAGGACUUUUUCAUCAAAUGCUAUCUAAUCUUUAUAAUUGGCAAAAGUCAAUAACAUCUGUCCACUAAGCUUGGAUAUUAAUUAAAAAAAAAUCACCAUUAAAUUUUAAGCAGUCUAUAUUCGCACAUACCUAGGUGUAACUUAAUGCUUAGUCAUACAAUACUAAUGUUAUUUACACAGCAGAUAAAUAUUGAAAAUAAAAUAACUGACCUUAAUUUCCUUUAA